UGGGGAAUAUUGCACAAUGGGCGAAAGCCUGAUGCAGCAACGCCGCGUGAAGGAAGACGGUUUUCGGAUUGUAAACUUCUGUUCUUAGUGAAGAAAAAAUGACGGUAGCUAAGGAGCAAGCCACGGCUAACUACGUGCC
rnacentral:rRNA from 1 species